rnacentral:rRNA from 1 species
GAUGAACGCUGGCGGCGUGCCUAAUACAUGCGAGUCGAGCGAACAGACGAGGAGCUUGCUCCUCUGACGUUAGCGGCGGACGGGUGAGUAACACGUGGAUAACCUACCUAUAAGACUGGGAUAACUUCGGGAAACCGGAGCUAAUACCGGAUAAUAUAUUGAACCGCAUGGUUCAAUAGUGAAAGACGGUUUUGCUGUCACUUAUAGAUGGAUCCGCGCCGCAUUAGCUAGUUGGUAAGGUAACGGCUUACCAAGGCGACGAUGCGUAGCCGACCUGAGAGGGUGAUCGGCCACACUGGAACUGAGACACGGUCCAGACUCCUACGGGAGGCAGCAGUAGGGAAUCUUCCGCAAUGGGCGAAAGCCUGACGGAGCGACGCCGCGUGAGUGAUGAAGGUCUUCGGAUCGUAAAACUCUGUUAUUAGGGAAGAACAAAUGUGUAAGUAACUAUGCACGUCUUGACGGUACCUAAUCAGAAAGCCACGGCUAACUACGUG